GGGCAGCCUUCCACUGUAUGGCGGGGUCUUUAGUUUUCGGACCCGUGGAGCUCCGCGUUUGGUGUCCGUUGCUCCGUCCGGUUUUCUCCGUGAGGCUCCACGUGACUCCGCCAUUGCCUCCGUGGACCUGGGACCUGCAGGUACUGGAAGGUCCCUUGGGAAGAUGUUGGGACACCACAGAAGACAACCACUGGGCGAUGGUCACUGUUGUUCUUGCCGCUCCUCUGAGUUCUGGUCUCAUUUAUCCAACAGACAUCUUGACAUCUCCACCUGGAUGUUUUGAAGGCAACUUAAGCCAGUGCGCCUGGGUCUGAACUCCUGACCUUCCUUCCCAAACCUGCUCCUCCUGCUGUGUUUGUCUUUGGAGUGACUUCCACUUCUAUCCAUUAUAAGUCAGAAAUCACCUCCUCCUCAAUCUCCUCCGCUGGCUUAAUCCAUUUCAAAUCCCUUGUGAUUGUCCUUCCUAAAUACCUGCCAAGGGCGGCCACCCCUGCCAAUCUCCUCCAGUGUCACCUCUGACAACUGCAGUGGUACCCGACCCAGCUCCCUGUGCAGACCAGGGCACCGCCCACAUUCACAUUUUACGACAGGAGCCAGAGUGAGCUUUUCCAACUGCAGAUCUGAUUGAUUUCAUUCUAGUUUCACUCUCAGUAAUCAAUGCCAUAUGAAAAUAUUUCACAGAAAAAUCCAGCCCCUCCCAUUAUAAAUUGCCAUACAGGCUUCUCCUGGGUUGAUUUCUUAUCUAGUUAUAAGAGCCAAGCUGUCUUCUGGGUCUCUUUGGACUGAGUCUCUCAGGUUUGGGGUCUGACCUUGAGGGUGGGUGGGACAAAUAUCACUGAUGGUUGAUGCCUUAGUUUGGGUUGUCCCACGUGCAGACUCUGAGACAAGAAUUUGAGAGCAAGUAGUUUAUUUGAGAGGUGACCUUAGGAAGCUCUGGCAGGGCUUUAGGAAGUGCAACAGGAAAGGAAGGAGGCCAAUUCAGGGCGUAGUAUUCAGCCAGGUGGUGCAGAGGACAGCUGGAGUUCAGUCCCAUGGAGAAAUCACACACAACAGAGGAAUCCCAGGAGCAAGGGAGCGUGGGUAUUUAUACACCAACUCCUAUGAGUUAUUAUUUGGGGGUUGUUGGAGGUGAGUGUUAAUCCCCUGGCACCGCCCACCUGCCGCAGGUGUGGGUAGAGUGGCCUGCUGAGGUCAUGGACAAAAGCCUGCAGGCAAAAAGAAGAAGAUAUUGGCAGUUAGAAGUGGCUCUGUGCCUGCUGGAGUGUUCCAGGGCUAUGUGCAGGGCACGAACAGCACCUGCUCCCCUGGGGAUGAUGACAGGUGACACUGGGUGACUCAGAUCUUCCUGACAUAACAUGGAGACACGUGGUUAGAAAGCCAGUCCAUUGUCUGAAGGAGAAGAGUCCCAGUUUGGUGCUAAUAUUCUUAACACCUUUCCAACACUGUUCAUCUCCAUCUGGAACCAAGAAAGAGCCAGCCUUUGGCCUAGCGUCUUUGGUAGGCCAUCGUAUGUACCUACCUGCAAUUGAUGAUGUUGCUUUGGUUUCUACUUAAUUUUUUCCAAUAAACUUAAGCAUAUAAAGUUUGCUAUUGAAAUAAAUUUAUAUACUUAAAAAAU
rnacentral:lncRNA from 10 species